ACGACAUUCCGCUGGUCGGGAUGAUUAUGAAUGUCGG
rnacentral:sRNA from 1 species